rnacentral:rRNA from 1 species
UGCUAAAGAGGAGGAAGGAAUGGGCAACGGUAGGUCAGCAUGCCCCGAAUUAUCCGGGCUACACGCGGGCUACAAUGGUCAGGACAAUGGGUAUCGACACCGAGAGGUGGAGGCAAUCUCCUAAACCUGUCCUUAGUUCGGAUUGUGGGCUGCAACUCGCCCACAUGAAGCUGGAAUCCGUAGUAAUCGCGUUUCAAAAUAGCGCGGUGAAUAUGUCCCUGCUCCUU